UAAUACAUGCAAGUCGAGCGAAUGGAUUAAGAGCUUGCUCUUAUGAAGUUAGCGGCGGACGGGUGAGUAACACGUGGGUAACCUGCCCAUAAGACUGGGAUAACUCCGGGAAACCGGGGCUAAUACCGGAUAACAUUUUGAACCGCAUGGUUCGAAAUUGAAAGGCGGCUUCGGCUGUCACUUAUGGAUGGACCCGCGUCGCAUUAGCUAGUUGGUGAGGUAACGGCUCACCAAGGCAACGAUGCGUAGCCGACCUGAGAGGGUGAUCGGCCACACUGGGACUGAGACACGGCCCAGACUCCUACGGGAGGCAGCAGUAGGGAAUCUUCCGCAAUGGACGAAAGUCUGACGGAGCAACGCCGCGUGAGUGAUGAAGGCUUUCGGGUCGUAAAACUCUGUUGUUAGGGAAGAACAAGUGCUAGUUGAAUAAGCUGGCACCUUGACGGUACCUAACCAGAAAGCCACGGCUAACUACGUGCCAGCAGCCGCGGUAAUACGUAGGUGGCAAGCGUUAUCCGGAAUUAUUGGGCGUAAAGCGCGCGCAGGUGGUUUCUUAAGUCUGAUGUGAAAGCCCACGGCU
rnacentral:rRNA from 1 species